rnacentral:rRNA from 1 species
CGGACGGGUGAGUAACGCGUGGAUAACCUGCCUCACACUGGGGGAUAACAGUUAGAAAUGGCUGCUAAUACCGCAUAAGCGCACAGUACCGCAUGGUACGGUGUGAAAAACCCAGGUGGUGUGAGAUGGAUCCGCGUCUGAUUAGCCAGUUGGCGGGGUAACGGCCCACCAAAGCGACGAUCAGUAGCCGACCUGAGAGGGUGACCGGCCACAUUGGGACUGAGACACGGGCCAA